CAAUGAUUAAGUGAAGAAAUAUAUAUAAAGAAUGUAAUAGAGACCUAGACACGGAAUAGGUGAUAUGCAAAGUUUCACUCUCUUUCUUUACUUCACCCUUCAUUUUUCCUUUCUUCCUAAUUUUUCAGUGUGUUUCUGGAUGGAUUAAGUUGCUGACUGGCUCAGGUCAUCCCAAGGAAGCACGUUGUGACCAGGAGUUGGAAAGGAAAGGACAAGACAGCCUGGCUGUACUACCCAGGCCAAGUGGGGUUUGGAGCCAUCCCCAAAACAUUUUAGACUGUUGUUUUAGAGGUACCUGGAUUAUUUAUUGACUCUACUAGUUUGGAGCAAACUGACCCAGCCUCAUGGAGAGGAUGAGACCUAAUACAAUGACAGCCCCCCUCCUUUGAUCAGCCUACGUCUCUGUGAGGUAGAGGACAACAGGUAACCCAAAUUCAUGGCCCGGUUGCGGUGGGUGGUUGUGGUGGGUGGAGGCGAUUGUAAAUCUAAGUGCUGC
rnacentral:lncRNA from 1 species